rnacentral:rRNA from 1 species
UCAACCUGGUUGAUCCUGCCAGUAGUCAUAUGCUCGUCUCAAAGAUUAAGCCAUGCAUGUCUAAGUAUAAGCACCUUAUACUGCGAAACUGCGAACGGCUCAUUAAAUCAGUUAUCGUUUAUUUGAUAUUCCCUUACUACAUGGAUACCUGUAGUAAUUCUAGAGCUAAUACAUGCGCAAAAUUCCAAGGACGG